UUUCCCCUCUUUCUGAUACCCAUGCUCAUGUGCGCGCACAGAGACAGAGAACCUGCUGUGUAUUUAGACUGGUUUGCUUUAGAGGGGCUGCUCUGUAUCAGGAUAGGGAGUGGUUGCUAUAGACGUGGAGAGAGAGAGAGCUUUAGUUUUCCUUGGUGGCUUUUCCUUGAAUCUUCAUAGCAUGCACGGGUGUUCGAACGAACACUCGAGGCAAGCACCGAGCAUAGUGAAAAGGAGUUGUAUAUGAUUUUUUGCGGAAAAUAUGGGCCUCUUAAUAAAUCUAUUUUUUGAGAUGGAUAUUAAAACUUAAUUUUUCUAACACGGAGAUUAUGAAUAUGAAAAAAUAAAUAAUUUUAAAAAACUAGAAUAAUAAUUAUAGUUAAAAAACAUUUGAACCGUUAGUUUCCAUUGUUUUUAAAUGAAACACCUACUUGCAUCCAUCUUUAAGAUGGAUGCUUUAUACUUUUUGGACCGUAUAUGUAGAAAUGCAAUUUAACCCACAUGAAACAAUUUUCCAUUGUAUAUUAUAAAACUAUUUAUUUUUUAUACAAGGAGGUCACAAUCAUUUUUAUCUAUUAGAUGUGAAAUCUAAUAGAUAAUAAUAUAUCAUAAUAUUCAAAAAACUUUGUUUUGGAUUUUAUGCUUAAACGAUGACACAUUAUUAACCACCCAAUUUCAAAUCUAACGGUAAAUGAUGAUUAUGACAUCUUUAUGUCAAAAGUAAAUGGUCUCAUUCUAUACAUUUCUUGGUGAAAAUGUCUCCCUAUACGAACAUCUACCAUUUCAUUUAUACCAAUAACAUAUGGGACAUGUGGUUUAAGAUUUUUCGACCAACUCAGGUUCGUCGAGCGUGAGUAUUCUUGAGUUGGGUAUCCAACUUGGUGAUCUUGAAAAAAAAUUAUAAAAAUUUCAAAGAAAUUAAGAAAUCUAUUUAUAACAUAUUUUUUUAUGUUCUAUAAUUUUGUCAAAAAUUGGAAAGUAUUUUGUCCAUGAAUACUUAUUUUUAUAUAAUCCCUUCUUUUUAAAUUAUUUCAAAAAUAUCCCCACUCACAAAUUGAUUUCUACAAAUGGAAAAAUUAUAGAUACCCCAAGUGAACCUGGUUGACAUCCACCCCUCAAUACUUUUAGUAUCACACCCACAAUCCAAACAUUGCUUGUUCUUACUCUUACCCCAGUCAAAAAAUUCAUGAUUAAAAUGCAUUUCUUCUCUAUCACUCUCUAUCCACCCUCUCUAUAU
rnacentral:lncRNA from 1 species